CCCGUCACGCCGUGCCCCGGCCAGCAGCAGGCGCCGCGGGGACUCGAACCCCGUCCGUCCGUGGGAGUGCCGCCACCGGCGCCUUUUGCUUUUUUUUGGCCGUUUUUGGGGGUUUUUGGGGCCCGCAGGAGAAAAGCAAAACCUGAGACAACGGCGUUCUCUCAGGAAAAGAAAACCUGGCCCGGGGGGGGGGGGGGGGGGGGAUGGAUUUUGGGGUAAUUUAGGGUGAUUUCAGGCCCCCCCGGGCUGCGCAGUGGGGUCCCCCCCUCGGCCCCGACCCCGUUUUUACUGCGUUUUCACCCAAUUUGGGGAUUUACGAAUUGGGGGGGGCGGGCGUGAAGCCUGGGGGGCCCCACAGCCCCAUUUUGUGGGGUUCUGACAGUGGGGAGGCAAAAACCCCACGGUUUUGGGUCAUUUUGGGUGGUUUCGGGGGUUUUGUUUCAAUUUCGGGGGCGUUUGAGCUCGAAUGUAGUUUUGGGGUGAAUCUGUGAGGUUUUGGGGGGGGGGUCAAGAAAAGCGUAAGUCACCUUGCUGGCUCCGCCGCGGGUCCGGCCGCGUCGCGCCGCUCCCUGGAAGGCAAUCGCGACACCGCCCCCCCCCCCAAAACCGCCCCGAAAAACAGGCGUUUCCGGCAAAACCAAAAACCGACAGUUUCCCUACACCACCGUCGGGGGGGGGGGCGGGCCCCCCAAAGUACCCAAAUACCGGAGAAACUGCCCCAAAAAUCUACCUGGCGGCGUCGCUGGCGGUGCUCCGAGGCGGUGCGCGCCUUGGGGUGCUUUUGGAGGGGUUUUUGGGUGGAAAAUCGCCGAUUUCGGUACCUACGGCCGCACGGAAGAGGCGCGCGCCCCGCCCCCGCCCCGCGUGCUUUGGGGGUUUUGGGGGAUUUUGGGGGUUUUCCGGUGGCGCGCAGCAUCCCCGGCGCAAAACGGGCUCAGAAAGCGGGAUUUCGGGGUCGCGCUCGUGUCCGCAGAACAAAACGGGCUCAGAAAGUGGGAAAGUGGGAUUUUGGGUCCGGCGUGCUUCCCCGGCGCUAAACGGGCUCAGAAAGCGGGAUUUUGGGGCAGCCACGCGUCCCCGGCGCAAAAUGAGCUCAGAAAGCGGAUUUUUGGGUCAGGCACGCGCCGCCAGCGUCAAACGGGUUGAGAAAAGGGGUUUUUGGGGUCUGGCACGCAUCCCCCGGCGCUGAACAGGCGCAGAAAGCGGGAUUUCGGGUCCGGCAUGCUCCCCAGCGCAAAACGAGCUCAGAAAACGGCUUUUUGGGGCCGGCGCGCUCGCCUGGUGCGAAACGGGCUCAGAAAGCGGGAUUUUGGGGGCAGGCUCCCGGCCCCGGCACAGGAACGGGCUCAGAAAACGGAGUUUUGGGUCGGGCCGGCGCUGCGUGACCGCGCCGCGGGUACUUACUCCUCUCACUUGGGUUUUUUCUGCCUUUUUUUUUUGGUUUUAGGCUUUUUUUGGUGCCUUUUUUUGUCCUGUUUUCUAAUUUUUAAUCAUUUUUAGCAAUUUGUCCUCUCUGGGCCGUUUUGAGGCCGUUUUGGGUCGCUGCGAUCCUGCCUCGGUGGAGAGCGGGGAGGGGGAGAAACAAACACAGCACCACGAGCCCCCCGCCCCCGCCCACCCUCCUGCCCUUUUGGGGAGAAAAACUGGGAAAUCGGUUAAAAAUCUCCUCCCCCCUCCCUAGGGCCAAAGGGCUCGAGCCCUGCUUUAACCAAAAAGCCACUUUUUCCACUCAAAAUCCCACUGAAGGGAUCCGGCCGAGCACCGCUGCCGGAGGGGCCUGGCGCCGGCCACUCGUUUUGGGGCACUUUGGGCCUUUUUUAUGUUUUUGGUUUUCUUCCUUCCAAACUUGUGAAUCCGGAGGGGAAAACCGAGCCAAAUCGGGGCCAAAUCGGUCAAAACAAAACCACCCUCCCUGGGCGAAAAACCACCACCGCCACCUCGCGGCGCUCCGUGCCCCCGUUUUGGGUUCAAACCGCCAGAAAUACCUAUUUUCUCCCUUUCCUACACGUUUUUGGGAGGUUUUGCUGCCGGGCUCUGCCUUUUUCGGGUCGGGCGUCCUCGCGCUGCCUCGUUUUUGGGGCAUUUUCCUGCGGAUUU